rnacentral:lncRNA from 1 species
GAUAGAUAGAUGCUUUUUGCUUUCUUCUCACAUGGAAACUCUUCCACACUUUUGGAUCACUUUCAUCUCUCUUGUCUAAAACCUACCACUAUCCCCUUUUUUACGUGGAGAGAACAGGAGCACGAUGAAUCAACACAGGCUUUCUUCUUGGAUGCAAUCAAAGCAGAAGCAAAGAAGGUGGAAUUUUCCAAGCGUGGCUGCUUCUGAGCACAGAAACAUCACCUGAGACUGAGGGUCUCUGCCUUGCCUGAUGUUGGUGCACACUCAGCUCUGUCUCAUUUCAUCUGGCAGUGCUUCACAGGACUCUCUGGAGAAGCUGUGUGUUCCAUGAGGGGUGUGAUGGACUCUUCCUGCCCAGCAGUUUUCUACCACUGCCCCUGCAGGGUGCUGCUAGUGGCCUGUGUUCACCAAACAAGUUAGGGAGGGCAUGUUCCCCAUUGACUGACACAGAACAGGUGUGGUAAGGUAAGUGGCAUAACCUGUCCUUACACCCAAUUCUCAUUCUACUGCCUGUUCUCAUGAGCUCAAGUGAGAGGUUUACUCUAACAACAGGAAAAGAUGCAACUUCUCCAACCUGUCUAAUAGACACAUUAAGUUAAUGGUGGGUGUCUUUCUGUCCUCUAUUUGAGCAGGUCUCACUUUGCCCAAAGCUGAGGUGAGGAAGACGUUCCCAACCUGAGGCUCUUGGCAAGUUGCAUGAGAUCUCUCAUUGCAGCCUUCCUGUGCAUUUCCUGUGUGUAGGGGUGAAAUGCCAGCCAGUGUUUGGCUCUCUGAACCACAGCCAUGUCUUCAGCCUGGUGGCUUGAGCAAGCCCUUCAAGCAUGGAUGGCUUCGUAUUUGCUGCUAAAGGAGACUUCAGCAGAAGCCAAAGGUGGUGUGUGGUGCUUGUAAGGGGGAGCUUUGCUGGAAAAAGCCCGGGAGAAGCUCUUGGCAAGUAGGCUCUGGUGCUGUAGCAGAGCCACUCCAUGCUGAUGGUAAAGCAAGGGAGACAUCAAGUAUUACACCUAAAACAUUGUAGUGGGCAUACAGGUGGUUCACUGGAUGCAGGUUCAACCAGCAAACCUUCAUGCACUCUGAUGCACUCUGACAAGGAAGAGCUGACCUCACAGAAAUAUGUCUUUCCACCCUGGAUGCAGAGCACAGGAGGAAUUGUUCCUGGUUGCCACCUUUCUCCACCUCAGCCAGCCCAGAUAACUCCAUGA